rnacentral:hammerhead_ribozyme from 1 species
AUCCAGCUGACGAGUCCCAAAUAGGACGAAACACGCGUCCUGUAU